AUGAGUUUGAUCCUGGCUCAGGAUGAACGCUAGCGGCAGGCUUAAUACAUGCAAGUCGUGGGGCAGCAGCCCCGUAGCAAUACGGGGGCUGGCGACCGGCAAACGGGUGCGCAAUACGUACGCAACCUUCCUUCGAGCGGGGAAUAGCCCAGGGAAACUUGGAUUAAUACCCCAUAAUAUAAUGAAAAGGCAUCUUUUUAUUAUUAAAGCUCCGGCACUUGAAGAUGGGCGUACGGCUGAUUAGGUAGUUGGCGGGGUAAUGGCCCACCAAGCCUGCGAUCAGUAGCUGAUGUGAGAGCAUGAUCAGCCACACGGGCACUGAGACACGGGCCCGACUCCUACGGGAGGCAGCAGUAAGGAAUAUUGGUCAAUGGACGCAAGUCUGAACCAGCCAUGCCGCGUGGAGGAUGAAGGUCCUCUGGAUUGUAAACUUCUUUUAUCUGGGACGAAACACUUCUUUUCUAAGAGGCCUGACGGUACCAGAUGAAUAAGCACCGGCUAACUCCGUGCCAGCAGCCGCGGUAAUAC
rnacentral:rRNA from 1 species